rnacentral:lncRNA from 1 species
GAGAUUUAAACAGUUGUUCUUGGAAACAUUAUCGUCGCCAAAGUUGAAGAAGAUUUGAGACUUAGGGUUUCAUUUGAAGACGAAGACGAUGCUGAUGGUGGUCGGGUCAGGUGUGGGUGGCGGCGUGGCGCGAUGGUUGUCGGAUUUGGUGGGUUAGUCGGAUUUGGGGGUGUACGGUUGUCGGAUUUGGUGGGUCAUGUGUCUAAUAAUUAACCAGAGUAGAGUCGGUUAAACAACAACAGCAACAUGAAGGAGCUGUGAUUCAGUGGGAUAGGUUUUUGCCUCUUAGAUCUCUCAAAGUUCUGCUUGUAGAAGAUGAUGACUUGACUCGCCGUGUUGUCAGUGUGCUGCUGCAUAAUUGCAGCUAUGAAGGUCUGUUGUAACUAUUGUAUUACGGAUAUUAGUUGAGUGUUACUUGUUUAGUGGUCAAUGAACUGAGAAAAAUCGAGAUAGUCUUAUUGUUGAAUGCUUUGUAUGUAUUAUUGUCAAUUCCCACAUGCUUUAUAUGUGAUACUGUUGAUUCCCACUUGUAAUUUGAAUGAUACUGUUGAUGGAAGAGGGUUUUGA